rnacentral:rRNA from 1 species
CAGAGGGUGCGAGCGUUAAUCGGAUUUACUGGGCGUAAAGCGUGCGUAGGCGGCUUUUUAAGUCGGAUGUGAAAUCCCUGAGCUUAACUUAGGAAUUGCAUUCGAUACUGGAAAGCUAGAGUAUGGGAGAGGAUGGUAGAAUUCCAGGUGUAGCGGUGAAAUGCGUAGAGAUCUGGAGGAAUACCGAUGGCGAAGGCAGCCAUCUGGCCUAAUACUGACGCUGAGGUACGAAAGCAUGGGGAGCAAACAGGAUU